AAGGCUUGACUUUAGACAAAUUUUAUAUGCGAACUAAAAAGGAGCGGGGGAGUACAGUAGUUGGUGUUUCUAAAAAAAUCGAAAAAUUUCAGUAGUAUUUAAUUCUGGUUUUCUUCGAAAGUGCUUGAUUUUAUUUGCGACAUCUUCAAAACUUAAAACAGAGCCCUGCUUUGCUUAACCCGCGUCCUUGCAGCCACGCACCUCUUCUCCCCUCCAGUCGCCUAUGAGCAUGAUAAGAACCUUCCAGAAACUUCUGCAACCAACCCGCGGACCCCACCGGGCUUCUACUCCCCUCCGCCGCUUCUGCGGCCGCGCACCGGCCCCGCCGUCGCCCUCCGGCGGCGACAUCUUCCAAUGGAACUCCGCCAUAUCCGCCCACCUCCGCGCCGGCAGGGUGGCCGCCGCGCGCCGACUGUUCGACGAAAUGCCGGAGCGGAACGUGUUCACGUGGAACUGCAUGAUCUCCGGCUUCGUCCAGAACCGGAUGCUCGCGGACGCGCGCAGGGCGUUCGACGCGAUGCCUGGGAGGAACUCGGUCUCCUGGGCCGCGCUCCUGACCGGCUACGCGCGGUGCGGGAGGGUCGCCGAGGCCAGGGAGCUCUUCGACCGGAUGCCGGACCGGAACGUGGUCUCCUGGAACGCGAUGAUGUCAGGCUACGCGCGCAACGGGAUGGUCGAGCGGGUGCGCGAGCUGUUCGACGCGAUGCCAGCGAGGAACGACGUCUCGUGGCUGACGAUGAUCUCCGGUUACAUCAGGAGGCGUCGUGUCCGUGAGGCGAGGGAGCUCUUUGACCGCGCCCCUUCCCCGUCGACGUCUGUCUGCAACGCGUUGCUGUCGGGUUACGUCGCACUUGGUUGCUUGAAGGACGCCGAGGAGCUGUUUGGCCGGAUGCAGAGACGGAACCCUGUCUCGUGGAAUGUUAUGAUCACAGGCUACGCGCGGGCUGGGAGGAUGCAGGUUGCGCAGAGCCUGUUUGAUGAGAUGCCCCAGAAGGACACGAUAUCUCGGACAGCCAUUAUGCGUGGGUACUUGCAGAAUGGAGACGUUGAUGCUUCGUGGAAGGUGUUCCAGGAAAUGCCCGAUCGGGAUGCUGUUGCUUGGAACACAAUGAUCGGUGGUUUCGUGCAGAGUGAGAGGGUGGAUGAUGCUUUGAGAUUGUUUGCUGAGAUGCCAAAUAGGGAUCUCGUAUCUUGGAACACGAUCUUGCAAGGCUAUGUUCAACAAGGGGACAUGGCUAGUGCAAAUACCUGGUUUAGAAAAAUGCCAGAGAAAGAUGAGACCUCGUGGAACACAUUGAUCUCUGGGUACAAAGAUGAAGGAGCACUAGCUUUGCUGUCAGAAAUGACCAGAGGAGGACUCAGACCGAACCAAGCCACUUUGAGCAUUGUUAUUUCUAUCUGCGCCUCUCUUGUUGCGCUCGGAUGUGGAAAAAUGGUGCAUCUCUGUGCAGUCAAAACUGGCUUUGAGCGGGACGCUUUGGUAAUGAGCUCAUUGAUAUCUAUGUACUCAAAGUGUGGGCUAAUCGCUGAAGCCUCACAAGUUUUCGAAUUGAUGUUGCAGCGAGAUACAGUGACAUGGAAUGCCAUGAUUGCGACAUAUGCUUAUCAUGGUAUGGCUGCUGAAGCUCUGAAACUCUUUGACAAAAUGACUGAAGAUGGAUUUCGUCCAGACCAUGCAACCUUUCUUAGUGUAUUGUCUUCUUGUGCACACAAAGGCUAUUUAUAUGAAGGUUGUCGUUAUUUUAGAAGUAUGCAAGAAGAUUGGAACUUGAUUCCUAGAUCUGAUCACUAUUCCUGUAUGGUUGAUCUCCUAGGAAGAUCUGGUUUUGUACACCAAGCUUAUGCAUUCACAAGAAAAAUCCCAUCUGACCUUCAAGUAAAUGCAUGGGAGACACUGUUUAGCGCAUGUAAUGCUCACGGAGAUGUUCAGCUUGGAGAAGUCAUUGCAAAGAAUGUCCUUCAGGCGCAACCUUCUGAUGGAGGAAUGUAUACACUCUUGGCAAACUUAUAUGCUGCCAAAGAGAUGUGGAGCAGUGCUGCCAAUGUUAGAGGAUUCAUGAAAGAGCAGGGCUUAAAGAAGGAGACAGGGUGUAGUUGGGUUGAGCUGAAGGGGGAGGUUGUCUCCUUCUCAUCAAAUGACAAUACACAUCCUCUAAUUGAUCAGAUAUGCCAGGAGGUUGAUAACCUUUCUGUCAUGAUAGAAGGGGCGACGUGAUAAGGUUAUGAAAAAAUGGAACUCUGGCAGUCUGUGAGAUCAGUUGAUGGCCCUGUUGGCUCCAAAGUCCAAAAUUUGGGAAAACACUGUCUUUUUUUGUCAGGGGCCGGGGGUACGCCCAAAUGAGUUCUUGAAAGGAUAGGAUAGCGAGGUGUUGGAGCCUGUUCAAUUCUUUAGCGAUGACCCUUCCAAGAUCGUAAUCAAGAAGUUAAAAACAAGACAGCGAGGUUCCAAAUUGGAGAUUUCCUACAAUUAGCAGUGGUGAUGGUGGUGGGAGCAUUUUCACUAUAUCAAGGAGGAAUUUAAGAACUUGGUUCCAUGUCUGCGCUGUCACUGGGGACCGGAGCACCCGCGACGUCUUCAGUGCAAAUUUCCCAAGCGAUUACACAGAACUCAUAGUGCAGCUGGGAACCUCUUUCUGGGCAAGCAAGAUCUACAAUCUUCCCUUCAGCUCCAUCCAAGACCUUAUGUACUCCAACUGGAUAUGGAAUUCCAAAUCCCCUCUAAAGUCAUGGAUUUCUUCUGGCUUCUUCUCAAUGAUCGCCUCAACACCAAGGACAUGCUGAGGAAGGAAUUUACACUUAGAUGAUGGUGUCAACUGCAUUCUUCACAAUGAAGGGCUCCUUGAGAACAGGGAUCAUCUGUUCUGGACCUGCAGCAUCAGCAAGGAUAGUUGGGAAACUCUUAACCUCUUCCCUUGUUAUGUGAUGGGAUGGAAAACCUGUUAUCCUCUGCCAAAGCCUCUUUAAACCUUUCUUGAUGGAGGCCUUGUUGCUGCCUGGAACAUUUGGAAACAGAGCAAUUUUGAAGAUUUUUGAAAAUGACAAUCCUGGCCUAACUCCUGGUCCUUCCUUUUUAAGAACCUCUUCUUUCUUACAGAAUGAAGAAGAUUAAUAGACCAUAUGUUACCACUUGGCUGGAUAGCCAGGGCUGAGCUUGUUUGUUCUUCUCUUUGUACUUUCACCUCACCCCCUUCUUUCUGAAUGUCGUCUUUUCAUACAUUUUACUGUCGGGGCCUGCUCAACAGUUUCAGUUAAAAAAAGCGAGUAACAGAUAUGAAUGGUUGUGUGGAGUUUUGUGCCCAGCAACUCGACACUAUACUGUAUCUGGAUAAUGUAGACUGGAUAGAAUCCGUGAACACCCUAAAUUGGUGGUACAGUUUGAGCUAACCUUGUUGGUAGCAUCUUCUCUCACAUGCUUAUGUGGCAGAGAUGGCGAUCAUAUUAAGUUCUUACUUUUAUGACGAACAAUGCACUUAGUGCAUUCACUCUAGCUUGUAUAACAGUGUUUCUUUUGAAAGAAGAUGCAUGAAUGAUGUUAGGACUAAUGGGCUAUACAUUUAGUGAUUUCAGGCUAAAGAAGCUACAGAAUCAGCUUUUAAGGAUGGAAAACAGCUAUUGG